rnacentral:lncRNA from 1 species
CAAAUGGGGAGGCUCCUUACGUGGAGAUGGCGUUCACCGAGCACAAGCAGUGCGAGUGCAGGCCCCGGCAGGACCUGAUGAGGCUGGGAAGGAGAAGGCCUAAGGGCCGAGGUAAGAGAAGACAAGAGAGGACGAGACGUAAAGGCUGUGAACUGUAAGUGAGCAUGGGCAGGUGUGGGUGGUGUCUUGUGGUUUCAUUUCCUUGGGAUGAACAGCUUCAUUAAGCCUUUAGGUCUUUACUGACACUGUAAGCAGUGAGGAGUUUGUGCAGAGCAGGCACAGGAGAAAGCAGGACAGCAGGGACAGUGAGUGCCUGUAGGGAAAUGGGCCUCUUACUGAAGGCUCAGUAGUUCCCAGGCUCAGCUGCUCAAAGCUGGCCAGUCCCA